rnacentral:rRNA from 1 species
AAAUGGGAGGUAAAUUUCUUCUAAAGCUAAAUACCGGCCAGAGACCGAUAGCGCACAAGUAGAGUGAUCGAAAGAUGAAAAGCACUUUGGAAAGAGAGUUAAAAAGUACGUGAAAUUGUUGAAAGGGAAGCGCUUGCAGCCAGACUUGUCCGCAGUUGCUCAGCCGGUCUCCUGACCGGUGUACUCUUCUGCGGCCAGGCCAGCAUCAGUUCGGGCGGUCGGAUAAAGACCUCGGGAAUGUAGCUCCUCUCGGGGAGUGUUAUAGCCCGGGGUGGAAUGCGGCCAGCCUGGACUGAGGAUCUCGCUUCGGCUAGGAUGCUGGCGU